rnacentral:rRNA from 1 species
GGCGGACGGGUGAGGAACACGUAGGAAUCUACCUAGAAGAGCGGGACAACCUUGGGAAACCGGGGCUAAUACCGCAUAGUACAGUGAUGUUAAAGGGCUAGCAAUAGUCGCUUCUAGAUGAGCCUGUGGUCUAUCAGCUUGUUGGCGGGGUAACGGCCCACCAAGGCGACGACGGAUAGCCGGUCUGAGAGGAUGAUCGGCCACACUGGCACUGAGACACGGGCCAGACUCCUACGGGAGGCAGCAGUUAAGAAUCUUGCGCAAUGGACGAAAGUCUGACGCAGCGACGCCGCGUGAAGGAUGAAGGCUUUCGGGUUGUAAACUUCGGUAGACUGGGAAGAAAAAGUAAGUUCGUUGAGGGCUUACAUUGACGGUACCAGUCUGAAGCCCCGGCUAAUUACGUGCCAGCAGCCGCGGUAAUACGUAUGGGGCAAGCGUUGUUCGGAAUUAUUGGGCGUAAAGGGCUCGCAGGUGGUUUGUUAAGUUGGUGGUUUAAUCUCUGGGCUCAACCCAGAGUCAGCCUCCAAAACUGGCGAACUUGAGUACGAUAGGGGAUAGCGGAAUUCUCGGUGUAGCGGUGGAAUGCGUAGAUAUCGAGAGGAACACCAAUGGCGAAGGCAGCUAUCUGGAUCGUAACUGACACUCAUGAGCGAAAGUGCGGGGAGCAAACAGGAUUAGAUACCCUGGUAGUCCGCACCGUAAACGUUGUAUACUAGUUGUUGGCGGUUUCAACGCCGUCAGUGACGACGCUAACGCAUUAAGUAUACCGCCUGGGGAGUAUGCUCGCAAGGGUGAAACUCAAAGAAAUUGACGGGGGCCCGCACAAGCGGUGGAGCGCCUGGUUUAAUUCGAUGAUCAACGAAGAACCUCACCUGGGCUUAAACAGUAGCUGUAUUACGUAAGAAAAGACGUAAGCUUUGAGAUCGCUACAGAGGUGCUGCAUGGCUGUCGUCAGCUCGUGUCGUGAGAUGUAGGGUUAAGUCCCACAACGAGCGCAACC